rnacentral:rRNA from 1 species
GGAGGGAUCAUUGCUGGAACGCGCUUCGGCGCACCCAGAAACCCUUUGUGAACUUAUACCUUACUGUUGCCUCGGCGCAGGCCGGCCCCUCCACCGGGGCCCCUCGGAGACGAGGAGCAGCCCGCCGGCGGCCAACCAAACUCUUGUUUCUUAGUGAAUCUCUGAGUAAAAAAACAUAAAUGAAUCAAAACUUUCAACAACGGAUCUCUUGGUUCUGGCAUCGAUGAAGAACGCAGCGAAAUGCGAUAAGUAAUGUGAAUUGCAGAAUUCAGUGAAUCAUCGAAUCUUUGAACGCACAUUGCGCCCUCUGGUAUUCCGGAGGGCAUGCCUGUUCGAGCGUCAUUUCAACCCUCAAGCCUGGCUUGGUGUUGGGGCACUGCUUCGAGAGGAGCAGGCCCUGAAAUCUAGUGGCGAGCUCGCCAGGACCCCGAGCGUAGUAGUUAUAUCUCGUUCUGGAAGGCCCUGGCGGUGCCCUGCCGUUAAACCCCCAACUUCUGAAAUUUUGACCUCGGAUCAGGUAGGAAUACCCGCUGAACUUAAGCAUAUCA